rnacentral:lncRNA from 1 species
AAAAAUGUUGAAAUUUCCACACGUUUACUGGGGAUAAGUCUCAAGAGGGUCAACAGAGAACUUCCAUCACCAUUAUUAUCAAUUCUGUUGUUAAUUAAGAGUUUAAAGUCUUCAUCUAAUUCUGACCACAAUUUGUACAAACUCAUCAGUUUUGAACUUCCUUUAGCUUUUGUUGCCAUUUCCUGCAUUCAUAUACCAUUCACAUA